rnacentral:rRNA from 1 species
ACAUGCAGUCGAGCGAAUGGAUUANGAGCUUGCUCUUAUGAAGUUAGCGGCGGACGGGUGAGUAACACGUGGGUAACCUACCCAUAAGACUGGGAUAACUCCGGGAAACCGGGGCUAAUACCGGAUAAUAUUUUGAACUGCAUAGUUCGAAAUUGAAAGGCGGCUUCGGCUGUCACUUAUGGAUGGACCCGCGUCGCAUUAGCUAGUUGGUGAGGUAACGGCUCACCAAGGCGACGAUGCGUAGCCGACCUGAGAGGGUGAUCGGCCACACUGGGACUGAGACACGGCCCAGACUCCUACGGGAGGCAGCAGUAGGGAAUCUUCCGCAAUGGACGAAAGUCUGACGGAGCAACGCCGCGUGAGUGAUGAAGGCUUUCGGGUCGUAAAACUCUGUUGUUAGGGAAGAACAAGUGCUAGUUGAAUAAGCUGGCACCUUGACGGUACCUAACCAGAAAGCCACGGCUAACUACGUGCCAGCAGCCGCGGUAAUACGUAGGUGGCAAGCGUUAUCCGGAAUUAUUGGGCGUAAAGCGCGCGCAGGUGGUUUCUUAAGUCUGAUGUGAAAGCCCACGGCUCAACCGUGGAGGGUCAUUGGAAACUGGGAGACUUGAGUGCAGAAGAGGAAAGUGGAAUUCCAUGUGUAGCGGUGAAAUGCGUAGAGAUAUGGAGGAACACCAGUGGCGAAGGCGACUUUCUGGUCUGUAACUGACACUGAGGCGCGAAAGCGUGGGGAGCAAACAGGAUUAGAUA